UAGGAUUCCAGCAAGAAAAAGUUCCACCCUGUAUAAAAGAUUCUGACUCAGAGGGAAGGCCUUCUAGGUUUACCUGAGAUUUAUACAUACAACUCAUGACCUGAAUUGAAAGAGAAUUUAAUUUUGAUUCGAAAAUAACACCAGCCAGGUGCGGGGUAUCA